UUUGUUUAAUUAUUCCCUCCCAGAGAAGAUUUUUCCUCUUGCCCUUAGUUCCAAGGGCUUUCUGUCUGAUUUAUCUUCUAUUUUCAGGACUCAAUGAAGCAGAAAAACAAUGUUAGUCUUUGGUGGCCAGGGAAAAGGAGGAAAGCUCGUGGUGGUCUCCAGAUGAUCUGGCCCUGACUGAAGCAAAUCUCCUUCCACAAGGAGGGAGCAAAGGCCUGGCAAGUGCAGUUUCACAGGCAUGAUGGAACAACCCAAAAUCAUACUGAUCUGUAAACCUGUGUAGCUGGAGCAGCAGUGUGGUGGUUUGCUUGUCUGUUGUUCACUUUCCUUCUACCAGACUUGCCACAGAAUUUAUUGGGCAACAUUUAAAGGCAAAUUAUGUUUUCUUUCCAAGUGUUGCAAGGGAAUGUCAUAGAGAGAAUUUGGUUCCUAAGCAGCCCUGUUAUCAGUAAGCUAAGAAAAUACAUUAGGAACUUGGAGAUAUUAAAUGCAUCAGGAAGAAGAAAAAAAAAUGGAUUAUGAUAUUUAAACCAGAAUUUUAAUUCCUGGUUUUGAUAUUGCCAGGUAAGGUUGUAGUAUUUAAA
rnacentral:lncRNA from 1 species